GACAGGUGCUGCAUGGCUGUCGUCAGCUCGUGUUGUGAAAUGUUGGGUUAAGUCCCGCAACGAGCGCAACCCUUAUCCUUUGUUGCCAGCGAUUCGGUCGGGAACUCAAAGGAGACUGCCAGUGAUAAACUGGAGGAAGGUGGGGAUGACGUCAAGUCAUCAUGGCCCUUACGACCAGGGCUACACACGUGCUACAAUGGCGCAUACAAAGAGAAGCGACCUCGCGAGAGCAAGCGGACCUCAUAAAGUGCGUCGUAGUCCGGAUUGGAGUCUGCAACUCGACUCCAUGAAGUCGGAAUCGCUAGUAAUCGUGGAUCAGAAUGCCACGGUGAAUACGUUCCCGGGCCUUGUACACACCGCCCGUCACACCAUGGGAGUGGGUUGCAAAAGAAGUAGGUAGCUUAACCUUCGGGAGGGCGCUUACCACUUUGUGAUUCAUGACUGGGGUGAAGUCGUAACAAGGUAACCGUAGGGGAACCUGCGGUUGGAUCACCUCCUUA
rnacentral:rRNA from 1 species